rnacentral:antisense_RNA from 1 species
CUUCACCGAGCCGAGCCACAGCGGGUGCCGCCUGCCCUGACCGUAGGUGGCGAGCAGCGCCUGCGCCUC